GGAAGAUGGCCAUGGCCCCAGGCCCUUCACUGGCACAGGUGUAUGCUAGCCCCGGGGUUGUGGCCGUGUGGGAAUGGCAGGAUGGGCUGGGCACCUGGCACCCCUACAGCGCUGCCGUCUGCACCUACAUCGAGCAGCAGUUUGUCCAGCAGAAGGGCCAGCGCUUCGGGCUCGGGAGUCUGGCCCACAGCAUCCCCCUGGGCCAGGCUGACCCCUCGCUGGCCCCGUAUAUCAUCGACCUCCCCAGCUGGACCCAGUUCCGCCAGGACACUGGCACCGUGAGGGCUGUUCGGAGGCACCUGUUCCCCCAGCUCUCAGCCCCAGGCCGGGGCAUUGUCUGGGAGCAGCUAAAUGAUGACGGCUCGUGGACCGCCUAUGAAGCCAGCGUCUGUGACUACCUGGAGCAGCAGAUGGCCAGGGGCAGCCAGCCCGUGGACCUGUCUCCCCUGGGAUACAACUACACAGUCAACUACGCCACCCACACACAAACCAAUAAGACUUCCAGCUUCUGCCGCAGCGUGCGGCGCCAAGCAGGGCCCCCUUACCCAGUGACCACCGUCAUUGCUGCGCCGGGCCACACAGGAGUCGCCUGCUCUUGCCACCAGUGCCUCAGCGGCAGUGGAACUGGCCCUGAGUCAGGCCGCUACCGCCACUCCAUGACCAACCUCCCUGCAUACCCUAUCCCUCAGCCCCCGCACAGGACCGCUGCUGUCUUUGGGGCCACCAGGCCUUUGCCCCAUAUAACAAACCCUCACUCUCUGGGGCUAGGUCUGCACCCCGGCUGAAUACCACCAACCCCUGGGGUGGGGCCCCUCCCGCUUUGGGGAGCCAGCCCCUCUACCGUUCCAGCCUCUCCCACCUGGGACCGCAGCACCUGCCGCCAGGAUUGUCCGCUUCCGGUGCAGCCAGGUAUCGUGUCACUGCUGGUCAUUUUGCCUGCCCCGAGUGCCCUACCUACAGAGGGACUCCAAAGCCAGAGCCAGAGCAGGUGAUAAGAAACUACACCGAAGAGCUGAAACCCCCCCUCCUGAUGAGGACUGCAUCAUCUGUGUGGAGAGACAGGCCGUGGCGUCUGGGUACAGCCAUGUGACUGACGCAAGGCCCUCGGGCCCGUGGCUGUGGCCGCCUCACCAAGUGCAGCCAUGCCUUCCACCUGCUAUGCCUGCUGGUCAUGUACUGCAGUGGGAACAGGGAUGGAAGUUUGCAAGGCCCUUCCUGCAAGACCAUCUAUGGAGAGAAAACGGGAACCCAGCCCCGGGGGAAGAUGGAGGUGUUACGGUUCCAGAUGUCACUCCCAGGCCAUGAGGGCUGUGGGACCAUACUCAUAGCUUAUCACAUUCCUCACGGCAUCCAGGGUCCUGAACACCCCAACCCAGGAAAGCCGUUCACCGCCAGGGGGUUUCCCGCCGGUGCUACCUUCCAGACAAUGCCCAGGGCCGCAAGGUCCUGGAGCUCCUGAACGUGGCCUGGAAGAGGCGACUCAUCUUCACAGUAGGGACGCCCAGCACCACGGGCGAGACCGACACCGUGGUGUGGAACGAGAUCCACCACAAGACAGAGGUGGACCGCAACGUGACGGGCCAUGGCUGCCCUGAGCCUAACUACCUGCAGAACGUGCUGGCCGAGCUGGCGGCCCAGGGUGCAACCGAAGACUGCCUGGGGCAGCAGUGA